UACGUAGGGUGCAAGCGUUGUCCGGAAUUAUUGGGCGUAAAGAGCUCGUAGGCGGUCUGUUACGUCGGCUGUGAAAACCUGGGGCUCAACUCCGGGCCUGCAGCCGAUACGGGCAGACUAGAGUUCGGCAGGGGAGACUGGAAUUCCUGGUGUAGCGGUGAAAUGCGCAGAUAUCAGGAGGAACACCGGUGGCGAAGGCGGGUCUCUGGGCCGAAACUGACGCUGAGGAGCGAAAACGUGGGGAGCAAACAGG
rnacentral:rRNA from 1 species